AUACGUAGGGGGCGAGCGUUGUCCGGAAUGAUUGGGCGUAAAGGGCGCGUAGGCGGCCCGGUAAGUCUGGAGUGAAAGUCCUGUUUUUAAGAUGGGAAUUGCUUUGGAUACUGUCGGGCUUGAGUGCAGGAGAGGUAAGUGGAAUUCCCAGUGUAGCGGUGAAAUGCGUAGAGAUUGGGAGGAACACCAGUGGCGAAGGCGACUUACUGGACUGUAACUGACGCUGAGGCGCGAAAGUGUGUGGAGCAAACAGGAUUAGAUACCCUGGUAGUCCACACUGUAAACGAUGAAUGCUAGGUGUAGGGGGUAUCGACCCCUUCUGUGCCGCAGUCAACACAAUAAGCAUUCCGCCUGGGGAGUACGGCCGCAAGGUUGAAACUCAAAGGAAUUGACGGGG
rnacentral:rRNA from 1 species